CAAGCAGAAGAGUCUCUGAGGUGUACUUGCCUGGAGGCAGAGUCAGUACCUGGAGUCAGGUCCAGUCCUAGGGUCAGACAAACAGCAACCCACAUGCUCAGAUGGUCCGGGGGUCAGGGAAUCCAAUGAUCAUGGAGUCAAGGGUCAAGACAAGCCAGAAGCAGCAAGGUAGGGCCAGGAACUGCUAGCGUUUUUACCACCAUCUGACUGCUGCUGGAAGCUCUGCUUAAGAAGGCUAAAGCCAGCUGGUUCUCAUCAGCUCCUUCUCCUCUGAGUCCUUGAAGGUUGAUCAGCUGUAGGUGGAGUCAAGCUGCCUUCUUCCCCUUCAGGCUGCUGUUCAGCAGGUGAAGCUGACUCCUGUCCCAUGACAGAUGGCUGUGCUCAAUCUCCAUGGUCGGAGGUUGUAAUGCUUCUGAAGACCAGUAGCUGGAAAGCACAGGAAGGGAGGGUGCUCUUGUGCUCUGGACCUGCAGGCAUCAGUUUGGUCAUUGUAAGAAUAGGAGACUGAAUUAGGUGGGCCACUGGGCUAAUCCAUCAGGCUGAAGGAGCGUCUCCACCCUCAUUGUUCAGCCUGGACACUCAGGUCCAGCUCUGAGGGCCUUCUGGUGGUUCCCUCCCUGCAAGAAGUGAGGCUACAGGGAACCAGGCUGAGGGCCUUCUCAGUAGUGGCACCCACCCUGUGGAACGCCCUCCCAUCAGAUGGAAAUAAACAACUAUCUGACUUUCAGAAGACAUCUGAAGGCAACCCUGUUUAUGGAAGUUUUUAAUAUUUGAUGUUUCAUGUUUUAUUGUGUUGUUAAUAUUGUGUUGGGAGCUGCCCAAAGUGGCUGGGGAAACCGAGUCAAAUCGGCGGGGGUAAUAAUAAUAAUAAUAAUAAUAAUAAUAAUAUCUUGCCUGAUGGAGAAAUCUUGCCACUAUUUUAUGAAAUUUGGGUCAGUCCUAAUAAACCCAACUUUGAAUUUUGGAAUUUUUUAUUUUUUUUUUGUUUAUGGACCAACACUGGUACUUUUAAAUAUAUAUAACAGUAGCUUGAACCUGUGUUGGUUUAAUCCCAGGCUCUCCAAAUACUACCAUACCGGAAGACCUGAGAGUUCCCACCACUUUCCUUCCUAGAUCUGAAAUGUUCUGCCAUUGCUUACGACAAAGCACAAUAUUACCUUGAGCAUUGGGAAAUGUUGUCUCAAAAGCCUGUGUGGUGUGGUGGUUAGAGUGUCAGAAUUGAUGUUGUUGUUGUUUAGUUGUUUAGUCGUGCCCGACUCUUCGUGACCCCAUGGACCAGAGCACGCCAGGCACUUCUGUCUUCCACUGCCUCCCGCAGUUUGGUCAAACUCAUGCUGGUAGCUUCGAGAACACUGUCCAACCAUCUCAUCCUCUGUCGUCCCCUUCUCCUUGUGCCCUCCAUCUUUCCCAACAUCAGGGUCUUUUUCAGGGAAUCUUCUCUUCUCAUGAGGUGGCCAAAGUAUUGGAGCCUCAGCUUCAGGAUCUGUCCUUCCAGUGAGCCCUCAGGGCUGAUUUCCUUCAGAAUGGAGAGGUUUGAUCUUCUUGCAGUCCAUGGGACUCUCCAGAGUCUCCUCCAGCACCAGAAUUCAAAAGCAUCCAUUCUUCGGCGAUCAGCCUUCUUUAUGGUCCAGAUUUCACUUCCAUACAUCACUACUGGGAAAACCAUAGCUUUUACUAUGCAGACCUUUGUUGGCAAGGUGAUGUCUCUACUUUGUCAGACUAGAAUGUAGGAAACCAGAGUUCAAAUCCCCACUUGGUCAUGAAGCUGAGUGAGUCACAGCCUCUGAGCCUAACCUACCUCACAGGGUCGUUGUGGGGAUUAAAUGAAGGGGGGGAAUCAUGUGCGGCACCUUGAGCUCCUUGGAGAAAAAGGCUGGAAUAUAAAUGCCACAAAUAGAUAAAUACCGAAAUUUGCAUGUAGGGCUCAAACUGCGCACUCAAAUAUUUGAUGAAGCAAUUGCCUGUCAUUGAGGAUGCUUUAUGUUCUUUUCCUAAUCUUCCAUGUCAUCAUCCUGUUUUUCUCAGUACUUAUUAUCAUUAAUAAGGUUUCUUUUAAUGCAUUAGCUGGUUGCCAGCAAAGCCACUUUCAAAUGCAUUCGUGGCAUUCAGUUAAUAAAAGGAAAGAUCAGCCUUUCAUCUAAGCUGUGGUAUCUCACAUCACUCUCCUCGCUUUCUCUGUUAGAAACAGCAUCUUUCUUUCUCUUCCUCACAGUGAAAGAACAUGUCUGCAAUCUCCCAAUGCAAUCUGCAAUACUGCACGGGCAUCUGUGUAUAUAUUAUUCCCUACUGUAAUUACUAACUGAUUUAGAUCUAUUGAUUUGUCCUAAACUGACUGUGAUCAUAAACAUACUAUGAAGCCGGUUGCCUUUAAGGAACCUUGAAAUGUAGGAUGGGCCCAUGACACACUUUUAAUUGGGGGAAGAAAGUGUGUCAUCUGAGCUUAAUCCAUGUGUGUCGAAGCAGUUCAUUUGUAGUGGCGUUUGAACUGAGUCUCAUAUACUAUUAUCUGUCCAUGCAGAUGAGAUGAGUGAGAAGAGCGACAACAAAGGGGUCAGAAAGUUAUAUCAUCAGGUACUUCUGCUCUUUAAGAUGCUGUCUAAAAAAAAAAAGACAGCAUCUUAAAGACAGCAUCUUAGACAGUAUUUUAAAAAGUAGAGACAUCACCUUGCCAACAAAGGUCCGUAUAGUAAAAGCUAUGGUUUUCCCAGUAGUGAUGUAUGGAAGUGAGAGCUGGACCAUAAAGAAGGCUGAUCACCGAAGAAUUGAUGCUUUUGAAUUAUGGUGCUGGAGGAGACUCUUGAGAGUCCCAUGGACUGCAAGAAGAUCAAACCUCUCCAUUCUGAAGGAAAUCAGCCCUGAGUGCUCACUGGAAGGACAGAUCCAGAUCGUGAAGCUGAGGCUCCAAUACUUUGGCCACCUCAUGAGAAGAGAAGACUCCCUGGAAAAGACCCUGAUGUUGGGAAAGAUGGAGGGCACAGGGAGAAGGGAAUGACAGAGGACGAGAUGGGUGGAUAGUGUUCUCGAAGCUACCAGCACGAGUUUGACCAAACUGCGGGAGGCAGUGGAAGACAGGAGUGCCUGGCGUGCUCUGGUCCAUGGGGUCACGCAGAGUCGGACACAACUAAAUGACUAAACAACAACAACACUUCUGCUCUUUAGCAGGGGAGAAAUUACCUCAACCCCCCCCCCUUUUGGAGAAAACUCACUUUGGUCUUUCCUAAGAUGAGGAGGUCUGGGGAUCACAUGGCCAGGAUAUGGUUACCAGAUUUUUUUCCAAUGAAUCCGGGGACACUGUUGGGUUUUUUGUUUGUUUUGGUAUUUGAAGCUGAGUAGCAACAGGGAGUCAGUAGUGGGGAUGGCGAGGCAAAAGACCCUGGGCCCAAGCACACAUGCAUAUUGUAUAAAGGUGCAAAGCCCUUCUUUUGCACCCUAUGAAACACAAAUGUGCAGAGUUUUUAAAAAACUUGGCAACGGCUGCCUGCCCACAAAUCCCGAGCCUGCCCCAAUUAGUCAAAACAAAGGGGGGGGGCAGGAUAUCUGUACCACCAGAUAUCCCUGGUUCCCCUUCAGCAGUGGCGGCAGCAGCGGCAGUCAGCAGCCUGGAGCCAGCCUGGUAGCGCAGUUGGCUCCGGCUGGCUUCAGGAGCUCCUCGCUGCCGUGGCACCCGUCAUUUUUCCUCUCCAGAAGUCUCUAUAUGAUGUGUUGCACACAAGACACAUCAUAUGGGGACUUCCAAGCGAGGAAAAAAUGGCGGGCGUCAUGGAAGCGAGCAGCUCCUGAAGCCAGCCAGAGCCAACUGCACUACCAGGCUGGCUCCGGGCUCCUGAGGCUGCCACUGCCACAUUUCCUGGGAACAGAUUUGCAAAUCUUGGGACAUUCCGGGGACAGAAUUUGUCUGGAGACAGAUUUGCAAAUCCAGGGACUGUCCCCGGGAACUGGGGAUGUCUGGUAACCCUAGGCUACGAGUGCCCAUUGGGAAGGGGCAUUCAGUACACUGGUGUCAUAGAUUCAGGAUAAAUCUAGAAAUUAAUACAGUGGUACCUCAGGUUAAGUACUUAAUUCGUUUCAGAGGUCCGUUCUUAACCUGAAACUGUUCUUAACCUGAAGCACCACUUUAGCUAAUGGGGCCUCCUGCUGCCGCCGUGCCGCCAGAGCACGAUUUCUGUUCUCAUCCUGAAGCAAAGUUCUUAACCCGAGAUACUAUUUCUGGGUUAGCAGAGUCUGUAACCUGAAGCGUAUGUAACCUGAAGCAUAUGUAACCCGAGGUACCACUGUAAAUGCCAGGGUUCCAAAUAGGGCUGCCAUAUUUUGAAGAGCAAAGGAGGGUGCAUUUCCCGACUCCUAUUUUUAACUAUGGGUUGCUAUGACGACUCUCAUUUUACAUACUCAUGAAAAAGAGGACAUGCCCUGGAAAAAGAGGACACAUGGCAACCCUCGAAUAGGGAUAUGGAUUAAAGUGCAAGCUUCAGAGCUAUGCCAGACAGGGAAUUCCUGGGUUGGCAUAUGCAAACCAGCCUGGCUGGCUUAGUGUGUAGAGCAAACCUAUUAACAUGACAAAAUAUGUUGAUGGGCUAUCUGAGAGCAUCCUUUAGCUCUUGAGUGAGAUGUUACCAAGGUAAUAGGGGGUGGGGUGUUUGAAGGGACAGGAAAAGGGAAUUUUCAAGCAAGGGUUGCUCAGAAGGAGAAGCAGGAAGAGGAGCUGAGAUCCAUCUUUGGAGGUGGCUGGCUGCAGACAGCCUGAGCUGUUGCGUCUUGAAAUGGCCAUGCUGGAAGGUCCGGACUCCCUCCUUGCCAACUGAAGAUGUAGAUACGUGAAUAAACCAUAUUUCUUAAAGCCAUGACUUCCAUUCUCCAAAGGGAAACAGACCCUGGGUGGGCAUUUGGGACCCCAUGGGCUCUUGCUACCACUUGGCCGAGAGUGUGGGAGGCACACAACUUUGUAACACUAAUUAGGUCAACUGGUAGCUUGGGCAAAGCAGAUUUUUUUGCAGGGAGCCUCUGAUUGGCACUGUCCCCCCAGCCUUCUCCACACUGUAGAGUUAUUUGUUUGAUCAUAGAAUCAUAGAAUUGUGGAGUUGGGAGGGACUCUCAGGGUCAUCUAGUCCAAGCAUGAGAUUAAGAGUCUCAUGCUCUACCAGCUGAGCGAUCCCUUCUUUGGGAUGUAUGUAUGUGUUAAUUUGAUAUUUCUGGCCUUCAGUGUGGGCAGGUAAGGGAAAUUAAUAACUUAAUUGAUAGCUACCCUGAGGCAUUAUUAGGUUAGAGGCACGUACAUGAACACACACACACAUAAUUUUUAUUCAUACAAAUAUUUAUAGACUGCUAUUUCAUUAAAAAAAUCUAAGUGGUUUAUGACAAAAAUGCAUAAAAUCAUGCAAUAAAACCAUAAAAAGUUACAAGCAGACAUUAUUAACAAUUGUGAAAAAAUGUACUCAAAAUUGCCUGCACAAUUUGGUGGAAACCACUUUUUUGGGGGGCAAUAUGUCAAUCUACACAGUUCCCACUUUACAUAAAUGAUCAUUUACAAAAAAAAAAAAAUAGUCUUUCAAACCUGAUAACCCCCAAAUUUCUAUUAUGAUGAUUUACUUCGCAACCAAUUUUGUAUCAAAAGCAGAUACCUUUCAUUUUAUAAGCCAAAUUGGCCACCUUAUCAAUUUCAACUAUUUCAAGACCCUUCAAAAUCCAAUCCCAUAUAGGUGGAACCUUGGGGGCAGGUGAGAUGUAUUUCCAUUGUCUGACACCCGGCUGCAAUUAACAAGAUUUUUUCUUCCGUUCAACAACCAUGUCACCCACCAUCAAAUUAAAUAUUGCCAGCAUCAGAGAGAGUAUGAGGUCUGCCUCAAUCAUUAAAGUGAUCUGUUGGAAAAUAAAAAUCCAAAAAUCCUAGGCAUAUCGACAACCACACCACAUGUGCUAGGUGUGCAUUUGCUGCCGAGGACUUUGCAACAAAUUUUGUAUCAAUGAGAGAUGCAUUCAGAAUAAAAGUGAAGAAAACAUUUUUGGUUCAAGAGAAACGUUCUCAUUUUCAGCCCUUUGGGAGAAUGCAUAGUUUUGAAUUCACCCUCUUCCCUUUGAUUCAUUUUCUCUCGCUCGUCGUGAUUCAUUUCCUGGCAAAAUGCGGCAGCGUCGCCACGUGACCUCCAUCUUUCACUGCUAUAUUUUAGUACUAAAAGUGAGCAGGAACUUAAAAUCUUCAGGGUUUGCUCUGCUACAGGAUACCUUUGAUUUCCAGGCAUGAUUGCAUUUAAUUAGUAUGGCACAAAGCAGCUGAGUCCUCCCACCCACUUAUCAAAGUCAGAUAAGUUGUUGUAACCGCAAGGUUGCUGAACAAAGAAUGCAGCUUCUGAGAUGAAAAAAAUACCCCCCAACCCUGCCUUAGGGCCCACCGAUAGUUUCAUUUGCCCCAUGAUUUCUAGACUUGGGUCCAAUAAGUUUUAAUUUUGUCUUUGCUGCUUUUUCUGGGGGGAGGGAAAUAGCUGUUUCCUGCUGAAUCGGAACAAAUAUCAUUCAGGUUUUCUUUGCAGGUUUGAGAAGUUAAAGCAGCGGUUCGCAAAGAAAUUUCUCUGCACCGCAUUUCUGGAAUAAACAAUCGCUCAUGCCACACCAUUUUUUUUUAUUGAUAAGAAAUACUUUGGAAAACAAAAAGAAACAGCUCCUAGCAGUGCUUGAUUUGUAACAUAGAACACAACUACUUUAUAAUAUGAUCACGGGACAUCCAGAAAGUAUAAAACGAUGCAGCCACAUAAGAACACAUUCCCAAAUUAAGUAUGUAUAUGAAGUCAGUGAGAGGUGUGAGCUUCCUUUUGCCAGGUAAUCUCACUUCUGUUAGGUCUAAUUUGAGACAAACGAACUCUCGUCUCAUCAGCACAAACAUGCCUUUCUCUUUUCUGAUCUUUCAUAUCAGUCAGAGUUGAAAAUCCUUGUUCAUAACAAUAAGUCAUGGGGAACUGUAGAAGAAUAGCCAGUGCGCUUGAAGAGAGGCGUGGAUAUGGUUUCUGGUUAUAUAUCCAAACAAAUUAUACUAUACUAUACUAUACUAUACUAUACUAUACUAUACUAUACUAUACUAUACUAUACUAUACUAUACUAUACUAUACUAUACUAUACUAUACUGAAAUUUUUAAAUGUUUGAUUGUCCUUAAAUCUUCCUGCCACACUUGUCAUCCUCUUCUGCAACAUCAGGGUAUCAUACCCCACCCCUUUGAGAACCACCAUGUUAAAGGCUCAGUUGCUGUUGUUUAAAAAAGCAAACAUGCAUACAGUGCAUUACAUAUAUAUAUAUAUGAGGUGCUGGAACUCACCAUUAAGUUGUUGCAGCAAGUGCCACACUUUUUAACAACGAAAAAGAGGCACCUGUGCUGAGUACCCUUGAGUACCCCCUGAAAACAAAGCACUGCAUGUAUGCACACAAAACUCCUCUCUCACACACACUUCCGCUACUAAUUCAUUCAUUCAACAAAAUUUAUAUAGCGUUUGAUUGUGGCAAAACCUCUUUUUAAGCAGCUUAAAAGAAAUCUUAAAAUGGUCUAUUUAUAUACUUAAUGUAUUUGUAUCCCGCCUUUCUCCCAAGUUGGUAUUCAAGGCUGCUUAUAAUGUUUUGAAACAUUAACGGUAAAAUGAAGAACAAUAAUCCAAAGCAAUAAUUAAUGUACAUCACAAACCAGGGCUUUUUUUAAAAAAAGGGGGGGCGGGACACACAGGAACUCCGUUCUGCCACCUCUCAGCUGGGCAUCAUUGCCAUUCUAACAGAAUGAGGGAGGUGUUCCUGGUGAGUUCUGGCACCUCUUUUUCGAGAAAAAUAGCACCGAUCACAACAUGUUUUUAAAACCAGCUGAGGCUGCUGAAGAGGCCAGACACCAGCUUGGCUACAGGUAAUAGCUGUCAACUUUUCCCUUUUCUUGUGAGGAAUCCUAUUUGGAAUAAGGGAAUUUCCCUUAAAAAAGGGAAAACAUUGACAGCUAUGACAGGUAGGUAGCCAUGUUGGUCUGCCGUAGUUGAAACAAAAUAAAAAGAAUCUGAAGAAGUGUGCAUGCACAAGAAAGCUCAUACCAAUAAAAAACUUAGUUGGUCUCUGGCGCCGUGGUCUAAACCACAGAGCCUAGAGCUUGCCGAUUGGAAGGUCGGCAGUUCGAAUCCCUGCGAUGGGGUGAGCUCCCGUAGCUCGGUCCCUGCUCCUGCCAACCUAGCAGUUUGAAAGCACAUCGAAGUGCAAGUAGAUAAAUAGGUACCACUCCGUCGGGAAGGUAAACGGCGUUUCCGUGUGCUGCUCUGGUUCGCCAGAAGCGGUUUACUCAUGCUGGCCACAUGACCCAGAAGCGAGAUGAGUGCCGCAACCCCAGAGUCGUCCACGACUGGACCUAAUGGUCAGGAGUCCCUUUACCUUUAAAGUGCUACCAGCUUGGCUGUGAGUCCUUGAAGACUUGCUCCCUACCCUGCAGGUCUUUUCCCACCUGGCCUGGGAAAAUGGUGCCCUGACUGACUCCAGCUACAAAAGCUGAGGCUGUUGAGAAGACUUUUGGGUUGGGGUGUUGUUUGGGUUUUUUGUUGCUGGGUGGGAAUGGUUGCUGUUGUUGCUGUUUUUUGUAUCUUUAGAUUUUGUUGCAAUUUAUGUGGAAAUGGCUCAGAUUGGUUUUGCAUUUCUUACUGUUUUCUUUAUUUAUUUAUUCUUCUUUUGCUUUGUUGCAGUUAAGUAUUCCUUUUCAUGGCGUAAACUGCCUUGAUCAUGGCUCAAACAGUGGAAAAGCGGCAUGUUGUUGUUGUUUAGUCAUUUAGUCGUGUCCGACUCUUUGUGACCCCAUGGACCAGAGCAUGCCAGGCACUCCUGUCUUCCACUGCCUCCUGCAUUGGUCAAACUCAUGCUGGUAGCUUCGCAAACACUGUCCCACCAUCUCGUCCUCUGCUGUCCCCUUCUCCUUGUGCCCUCAAUCUUUCCCAGCAUCAGGGUCUUUUCCAGGGAGUCUUCUCUUCUCGUGAGGUGGCCAAAGUAUUGGAGUCUCAGCUUCAGGACCUGUCCUUCCAGUGAGCCCUCAGGGCUGAUUUCCUCCAGAAUGGAUAGGUUUGAUCUUCUUGCAGUCCAUGGGACUCUCAAGAGUCUCCUCCAGCACCAUAAUUCAAAAGCAUCAAUUCUUUAGCAAUCAGCCUUCUUUAUGGUCCAGCUCUCACUUCUAUGUGGCAUACAAAUAAAAUUAUGCAUGCAUUCCUUUUCAGUGAAGGGCAGCCUGCUCAUGCAAAAAGUUUCCUUUCAGCAACUGUGCAAAUAAUAAUAAUAAUUUAUUAUUUGUACCCCGCCCAUCUGGCUGGGUUUCCCCAGCCACUCUGGGCGGCUUCCAACAAAGAUUAAAAAUACAUUAAAAUGUCUCACAUUAGAAACUUCCCUGAACAGGGCUGCCUUCAGAUGUCUUCUAAGUGUCAGGCAGUUGUUUAUCUCUUUGACAUCUGAUGGAGGGUGUUCCACAGGGAGGGUGCCACUACCAAGAAGGCCCUCUGCCUGGUUCCCUGUAGCUUUGCUUCUCGCAGUGAGGGAACCGCCAGAAGGCCCUUGGCGCUGGACUUCAGUGUCCGGGCAGAAUGAUGGGGGUGGAGAUGCUCCUUCAGGUAUACUGGGCUGAGGCUGUUUAGGGCUCUAAAGGUCAACACCAACACUUUGAAUUGUGCUCAAAAACGUACUGGGAGCCAGUGUAGGUCUUUCAAGACUGGUGUUAUGUCUUCUCGGCGGCUGCCCCCAGUCACCAGUGUAGCUGCCGCAUUCUGCAUGCAAUCACGUGCUUCUACAAAAUGUGCAGGGUGCCUACUGAACUGAGCUGCUCAGUUGCAGGAGAACUGGCAGGAUCCCUGAACUGAAGCACUCCUGUUAAGGAGGAAGUUAUGCUGUAACAUUUUGCUGUGGGUCCCUCUUGUGCAAUUUAAAUGCAAUGGCGAAUUGUAAUGGAAGCUGCACUUUUAGAGCCUUGUAAUACUUUGUCAUAAUCUGCCCAAUCAUAAAGAAUUUAAUAUGAUAUUUCUUAGCCCUAGUGAGCUAUUUCAUAAGAUAAUGGAGGGAUGAAAUGAUAGCAGGUUAUCUAAUCUACCUAGAUGUUCAGUCUAUGUAUUCACAAUAUAAUUAUUUCAAGGACCUGGUAGUUUGCAAUGAUGAUGAUGUAUAUGAAACCCAUCUGACUGGGUUGCCCCAGCUACUCGGGGUUACUCCCAACAAAACAUAGUAAAAACACAAUACAACAUCAAACACUAAAAACUUCCUGGAAUGAAUACCCACCUUUUUAGCCUAAGGUCCCAGUGUGGGUUUUAACAAGUAAGGGCUUAUCUACCUUUUGUCUCGCUCUUUCCAGACACACAUCAACUCUCUGUGCCUGAGGGAUUUUCAUGGGGGAAUCUCUAGGCCACCCCACAAUAGUUUCUGCAAUAGUUUCUGCUAUACAGUGGAUGGUGGAACAAGGAAGUUAGCCUCACCUUUGCAUUCCCUAUAUACCCUUUAAUGUAAAGUGGGGAUUAAAUUAGUAAUUGACUGUUGGGGAUUGAAUCCAAUCAUAGGAUAUGUCCACCAUAAAAACCAGGAGGGACAAUGGAACUUACACAAGUCUGCCUUGGACUUCGGUAUUCUGACGUGUGGAGUCCUCAUACAAACCUUAAUAAGAGCCUGCUGGAUGAGUCCCAAAGUGCAUCUAAUUGAGCAUCUGCUGCAUCCUAUGUUAUUCAUCUCAGGAAUCUUGCGCUAAGAACCUAGGAAGAGCCCUGCAGAUGGUUCCUGUCAAAGGCCCAUUUACUACAACAUCCUGUUCUCACAUUAGCCAACCAGAAGUCCACAAGAAGCCUGCGAGCAAACUCUGUGUACAACCACACUCUUCCUCACUAACAGUUCCCAGCAAAUGAAGGCAAAUGAUCUCCAACAGUGGGAGAACAUAGCCAUAUUUGGGGGAGCACUCAUCCACUCCUUGAUUAAACAGAGAGGAUUCACAAGUCCGGUUAGUAUAUGAUCUGGAGUCGUAUCUGUGUUGUUCAGAUGGGUACAGAUACCAGAUCAAGGAAGGCAUUGCUUAAGUUCAUGCAUCCUGCUGUUGUUCCCCUCUUCUCGGUACUCUUUACUUGUCAGGCAUGGGAACACUGUCAACGACAAAUUGGCUGAGAACAGCAGGCGGUCAGAUACACUCCUGCUUAUUAAACCUGCAGAUGCACUUCUGUUGUUUGACAAAAGUGUCAGGGCUCAUUGCACUGUCGCUCCUCCAGUAAAGAUCUUAAGGCUUGUAAAAACUUCACAGCUGCCUCGUGAAAGUUGCAGGUACAUCUUGGAUCCUGGAAUUAAGUUGUGCAAUGCUCCUCAUCUUUCUCCUGCCUCUCCUCUUAAUCGCUUUCCUUUCUUAAAAUAAUAACUUGCAGGGCAGUGCUGGAGGUACAGCUUCUUCUUCUUCUUCUUCUUCUUCUUCUUCUUCUUCUUCUUCUUCUUCUUCUUCUACAUGCCCACCUCACUGGCAGGAUGGCCAGUUCAAAAACUGCUGCAGCCCACACAGCGAGUUCUUUUCGUUGAAUUUCCGAACUCAUCUUUUUCAAAGGGGCAAUUAAAACACACUGCCAAGGUCUGACAACUGGCGUCCAGCAUCUGCUCUGCCUCUACAGCCAGACACAGCUGUCUGCUGUUCUAUGAGAAAUGCCAGAGCGUAUAACCUGAGGAAUACCAAUGAACUCCUUCCUUUUGGAACAAACAGAGAUAGGAAAUACAUUCCUCCUUCUCCCCAAAGUACUUUAAGGCAGCGUUGUAAGCCGAGUCAGGCGAUUGUUCUACCCAGCUUGGGCACAGAGGUGUCUUUCUCAGCCCACAAUAUCUUCUAAUGGUUAGAUGAACAUCAGGGUCCUUCCACUAUGUUUCCAGCCCAUCUAGGCAAGGGAUGGGGGCACAGAGGACAACACUUCCUCAGUUAUUGUGCUUGGAUGCAUCAUUAGCGAUCUUCUGCCAAACAAUGCAAAUAAAAUAUGGAUGCUCUCUGGACCUUUCGGGGAAAGGAUUGCCUGGCAGUAAUUGCAUUGUUGAUCUCAAACUCUACUGAUCAGGCUUUGGCUACUCUGCUAUAAUGGUGAUUUUGUUAGUAACAUAGUUUUAAUUUUGUAGCGUUGAUUUCCAGCUCAUGGUUAGUUAGGGGACUUUUUUAAUGUGGGUUCAAAUAUUUUAAUAAAUAAUUGUGGGGUAUUCAAAGGGCAGUCAAACCAACAAUUCGUUGUUUGCUAGAUAGGUACAUGAUAGGAACAGAAGCUCAGAAAUUUUUCCUGUAAGUUUGCUAGAGAGAACUCUGUGAGAGAAACUCUCACUGUUCCCUGACAGGGGGAGGGCAUAUAUAUUUUUGCACUCCUUAACUGCCUGGGCACAUCCUCUUAUUGCUUCCCCUCUUCCUCUUCCUCUUCCUCUUCCUCUCAUCUCCAAACCAGAAAUGUGAGAACAACUGAUAAAUCUGAGCUACAACUCAGACUGCAUCUUAAGCCAGACUAUAUUAUGUCUUUGUAAGUGUACAGUUGUACCUCGGGUUACAGAAGCUUCAGGUUACAUAUGCUUCAGGUUACAGACUCUGCUAACCCAGAAAUAGUACCUCGGGUUAAGAACUUUGCUUCAGGAUGAGAACAGAAAUCGCGCAGUGGUGGCCCGGCAGCAGCAGGAGGCCCCAUUAGCUAAAGUGGUACCUCAGGUUAAGAACAGUUUCAGGUUAAGAACGGACCUCAAAAACAAAUUAAGUUCUUAACCCGAGGUACCACUGUAUUGCCAUUUUAAGCCUGCCUGAACAAAGCUACUGUAUCUGUUAUCCUGCAACAGAAACUGAGUGAGUAGAUGUUAUUUUUACCUUUUACAAGACUAUGUGAUUAUUGUUUUAAAAUGGGAAAAUACCAGGAAAAUCUAGUCUGCUUUAAAGCAUCCUGGAUUAUUUAAACUAACCUGAGGGAAGGAUAAUAUCUAAUAAACAUAUCCCCUACUAGCAUCUAUACACAUCCUUGCAAUAAUGAAUACCAAGGACGGCUGCCCUGAAAUCUGUCCUCUGGUUUCCGAAAAGUUUUCUUCUUCUGCAAGAGGCUUCCAUUUUUCUGCUUCAUUCUCAGGGCACCUGAGAAUAAUAGAUGGGUCUUUGGUCUGAUCCAGCAGGGAUUUUCUUCUGCUUCUUUCUCCCCACAAAAUCCUAGAUCCUCUUUCUGCAGAUGAAAUUGUUGCUCUCUAUCAGCAGAGAAAGGGGGUUCCUAAUUCCCCCCCCCCCAUUUAGGGCCUGGAAGGCAUGCUUGGUUUCAGAUAAUGGGGAGCGUGGCCAGAUUUGGAUAGACAGUCCUGCCUCUUCUCAAUGAUAGAAAAAUCCAGCCUUUGCUGCUGAUAGAAGUAGUACGACUCAUGCAACAUUUUGGUGACUAAUAUGCAUUAAAGGUAAAGGUAAAGGGACUCCUGACCAUUAGGUCCAGUCGUGGCCGACUCUGGGGUUGUGGCGCUCAUCUCGCUUUAUUGGCUGAGGGAGCUGGCGUACAGCUUCAGGGUCAUGUGGCCAGCAUGACUAAGCCGCUUCUGGCGAACCAGAGCAGCGCACGGAAACGCCGUUUACCUUCCCGCCAGAGCAGUACCUAUUUAUCUACUUGCACUUUGACAUGCUUUCAAACUGCUAGGUGGGCAGGAGCAGGGACCGAGCAAUGGGAGUUCACCCCGUCGCAGGGAUUUGAACCACCGACCUUCUGAUAGGCAAGUCCUAGGCUCUGUGGUUUAACCCACAGCAUUAUACAUACAAUAAUUACCAAAAUAAUUAUCCAUUCUUUAUCAAUCUUCUGAGAAAAAUACAAAACCUUGAAUGAAUGAAUUUUAUUACUACGGUCACAGACAUUUCAUAAAGAAUACUAUUAGCAAAUCAGUCUCUUAAGCUUAAGCCAAGAAAUAGUAUUCUUUAUGAAAUUGCAUGUCAAUAUACAUAUCAAGGCUUUGAGAUUAGACCACUGAAGAAGCCUGGAAAGCUACCUUGGGAGUGUGCUACCUGCAAGCACCAGUAAAAGGGCCCCACCGGGGGCAAACAACAGCCCUACUUGGACUGCCAGGGAGAAACAGGUGCAGAAUGCUGGCCCCCUGUUAAUUUCAUUAACAUCCAUCUACAACCUCACUAGCAUCUCUCAGUAUUGUGAACAACACCAAACUUACCCUUUGUGGGUAUCUUCAUGAACUUCCCUAAAAAGAUAAAGAAAACAAAAGACUGAGUUAAGCAUUUGAAAAAUCCAUUGAAACCAGACAUACGUUCAUCUUAAGUUGGGUAGCUUAUAAGUCUCUGUGGCUUUACACAAGGUUUUGUAUUUUUCUCAGAAGAUUGACAAAGAAUGUAUAAUUAUAUUGGUAAUUAUUGUAUGUAUAUUACUCACCAACAUGUUGCAUGAGUCGUACUACUCCUCUCAGUGAUAGGCAAAUUGGGUAGAAAAGACAGUGUGGUCUCAGAAAGCUGGAAGUAUAAUUAUAACUCCAUCCUUCCCUCUCGGCUGCUCAUCAGAUUUGACCAGCAUUUAGCUGGUGUAUGCCUGCACAGGAGAGAUGGGGAAUAAGUUCAAUCCUGCUUGCAUUUUAAUAAGGAACUACCUAAUUCACACUUUUCAAACCAAUAUGCUGACCGAAGCACAGCUAUCCUCUGAAACUCACACUUCUCAAAAUGUGGUAUUGCUGUUCUCCCAACCAAAUGCACGUCACAGCAAAGUGUGUCUACAAAUGCACAGAUUAAUGUAAAUAACAUGGAAACUAUGCAUUAUAUGCGGGGAAAUUGCUUGCAAAAAACAUAUAUAUUAGUCAUAGCCACAUGCAAAAAUAUGUGUAUCGGGGUAAAUUUACAGUAUAAUGCUGAUGGGUUUUCAGGAGGAUUAUAUUGCCAAUUGCUUUGGAAACGUGGACAACUGAAUUUAAGACUUGACAGAUAAGAAACAGAGAUACAGAAAUUGACAGACACACAUGCAAACAGAUAUGGGUAAUUUCUGGCCAGGAAGUUGGGUAUGCAGUCAUUGUAUUGAUGAGGGGAGUGGAAGAGUAAAAACAAGGUUUAGGAGAACUAUUACUCAGUUAAUGAUUUCAGUUAAUGAUUUCCUUUUCUCUGGGAUAAUUUUGACAAUAUUGCCUGACUCAUGCAAGCAUCUCUCUUUGAUUCCCCUUGUGAUGGGAAAAUAAAUGUCAUCACAUUCCCACCUUCAGAAGAGGAGCCCCACCAUUAUUCAGCUGUCACACUAAUGAUCCAUGGUAUAAAGGUUCCCCGUGUCCGCUAAUGAAAAGAACCAAAAAUAAAGGGAAGUUGAGCUGAUAUUUUUUUUUUUAAAAAAAGCAGAAGCAGUAUCUUUGGAUAUGUAUUUUAUUUUAUUUAUUUAAACAAUCAUAUACCAUCAACACAUAUAAAAUAUUGAGGCAGUGUGCCAUGCAACAUAACUCAUUGUAAUUGCAAAAGAAAAUAACCAUUAGAAUGACUGGCGAACAAGAAAGUCUAUAUAGCUGCAAAGGACUGUUGACAUAAAAAUAUAUUCAAGAGAUGCCUGGAAGUCGAAAGCAAGGAUGCCUGCCAAAUCUCUGCUGGAAGAAUCUUCCACAACAUGUGACCAUUGACACUAAAUGCCCAACUUCUAACUGAAGCCAGUUGGGCCUCUGUAACUUCAGGGAAAGUGAGAACAAAUUUCAGUGAUAGAGCUGGGAUAUAAAUAUGAGGAGGUAUUCAUAGAAUCAUAGAAUCAUAGAGUUGGAAGAGACCACAAGGGCCAUUGAGUCCAACCCCCUGCCAAGCAGGAAACACCAUCAGAGCACUCCUGACAUAUGGUUGUCAAGCCUCUGCUUAAAGACCUCCAAAGAAGGAGACUCCACCACACUCUUUGGCAGCAAAUUCCACUGUCGAACAGCUCUUACUGUCAGGAAGUUCUUCCUAAUGUUUAGGUGGAAUCUUCUUUCUUGUAGUUUGGAUCCAUUGCUCCGUGUCUGCUUCUCUGGAGCAGCAGAAAACAACCUUUCUCCCUCCUCUAUGUGACAUCCUUUUAUAUAUUUGAACAUGGCUAUCAUAUCACCCCUUAACCUCCUCUUCUCCAGGCUAAACAUGCCCAGCUCCCUUAGCCAUAAGGCAUCGUUUCCAGGCCUUUGACCAUUUUGGUUGCCCUCCUCCGGACACGUUCCAGUUUGUCAGUGUCCUUCUUGAACUGUGGUGCCCAGAACUGGACACAGUACUCCAGGUGAGGUCUGACCAGAGCAGAAUACAGUGGCACUAUUACUUCCCUUGAUCUAGAUGCUAUACUCCUAUUGAUGCAGGCCCAGAAUUGCAUUGGCUUUUUAGCUGCCGCGUCACACUGUUGGCUCAUGUCAAGUUUGUGGUCAACCAAGACUCCUAGAUCCUUUUCACAUGUACUGCUCUCAAGCCAGGUGUCACCCAUCUUGUAUUUGUGCCUCUCAUUUUUUUGCCCAAGUGCAAUACUUUACAUUUCUCCUGUUAAAAUUCAUCUUGUUUGUUUUGGCCCAGUUCUCUAAUCUGUCAAGGUCGUUUUGAAGUGUGAUCCUGUCCUCUGGGGUGCUAGCCACCCCUCCCAGUUUGGUGUCAUCUGCAAAUUUAAUCAGGAUGCCCUUGAGUCCAUCAUCCAAGUUGUUGAUAAAGAUGUUGAAUAAGACCGGGCCCAAGACAGAACCCUGUGGCACCCCACUAGUCACUCUUCUCCAGGAUGAAGAGGAACCAUUGAUGAGCACCCUUUGGGUUCGGUCAGUCAGCCAGUUACAAAUCCACUGAGUGGUAGCAUAGUCAAGACCGCAUUUUACCAGGUAUUGUGGGAGGAGCUGUUAUUAAAAAAAGGUAAAGGUAAAGGAGCCCUGGAUGGUUAAGUCCAGUCAAAGGCAACUAUGGGGUUGCGGCGCUCAUCUCGCUUUCAGGCCGAGGGAGCCGGCGUUUGUCCACAGACAGCUUUCCGGGUCAUGUGGCCAGCAUGACGAAACCACUUCUGGUGCAACGAAACACCGUGACGGAAACCAGAGCACACGGGAACACUGUUUACCUUCCCACCACAGUGGUACCUAUUUAUCUACUUGCACUGGUGUGCUUUCGAACUGCUAGGUUGGCAGGAGCUGAGACAGAGCAAAGGGAGCUUACCCUGUCAAGCGGGUUCGAACCACUGACCUUCCAAUCAGCAAGCUCAAGAGGCUCAGUGGUUUGGUCCACAGUGCCACCCAUGUCACAUUGUAAUUUGAUAAGGAUGCUGAGACCCCCACAUAUCUUCUCCUGGACUUACAGUUCUCAGAGUUCUCUAUCCCUACUUAACAAAUUGUAGCUGGCUUCACCUCACCCCCCAGCAAAGGCCUGGAAGAGAGGGCAUCAAAAAUGAAAGAAAGAUGUAUGCCUUUCCUGAAUGGCACCCCAGGAUAAAGCCAAGGGGACAGAGAGGCAAUCACAAGGCUUUCUUGACCUGCUUUUAAUGCUCAUUAUUUCCAACAAUCUUUUGAGUAUGACUGGUGGAAGGACCAUAGCUCAGCUUCCCAUGUUCCUCUGAGAUUAAGAAAUGAGAAACAGGAGGAUGGAGACUGUAUGCCUCCUCGCCUGAUCUUGGGUAGCAUCUUCUGAUGGUCAGCAUGGUUGGACAAAUUCAUCCCAACCAGGAACAACCUCAUGCAGCCCUAAGCAGACCCACAAGUGCACAAGCAUCCCUGCUGGUGCUCAGUCUCCCCAAAAACACAAAUGCAAAAUGAAGAUGUAUGGGGGGGGAGAGAAAUAGGAAAAUAAAUGCAGCCUUUGGUUAUGUAUUGGAGGUUGUCUGCGGUAUCUGGUACAUUGCCUUCUCUCUCCCUCUCGAAAUAAAAAAAAACCCCAGGUUUGUGAUUGAAGGGAGGAAAGGAAGAGCGGGGAGAGAGAUUGAACAAAUACACAUGGAUGCCUUUUUCCUACCGAUAAAUAUUCAUAGGCUUUCUAGGUGCUGCCACUGUGACACACCGUGGGCUGGAGCGGAGCACACACUGGCUUGACUCCCAGCUCUAAUGCAUACAGAUGAGAACUUCAAAGAGCGGCUGCUGGCGGGAUCUGCGCUGGGCAGAGGGAAUGCACAUUUAUCCCUCAUCAAAGACAGUGGCAUACCCCAGCGAGAGCUGCGCAUUCCACCGGCAGAGAAGGGAGCGGUUGUAAGACAAGCAUCUUUCCACAGUGAAUGGCUUUAGAAAAACACAGAUCUGGAGCGCAGGAGAUGACUGGCUUUCUGACUGCAACUAUUUCCGCUCUCAGCCAAGAGACACCUGUGCCCUCUGCCCCAUCGCUGAUGCCCUAUGUUAAACACCUUUGAUGUUCCACUUGCUAAUAUCACUCUUGGAGUCCAAUCGCAUGAGUGUCUGUUUAGUUGUACAAAAGGGUUUACUCCCAGCUAACAAUGGGUGACUCUGUCAAAUUCAGUUUCUCUCAGGUUCUUUUUGUUUUUUAAAAAAAUAUUUUUCUGGACUUCAGUUAUCCACAUUUCCACAUAUGAAAAAGAGAAUCCUAGGAAGAAAACUCACCAGCAUUGUAGCACACAUUUCUCCUGAUAUAUGUAUUUGUGUAUGCACAUUUGCUAAACAUGCUGGAGGGGGAAUCAGAGCAAUUUCCCCUAAUGCAUAUUUGCACCCUCAUUUCACUAAUAUAGGCACACUUUCCCAUAGUAUAUGCAUUUGUGCACAAAUUACUCAGCUAAAGAACUGCUCUGCAAAAUUCAGAGUAGUGCAAAUUUCAAAAGAUGGCUAUGUUUUGGUUUGCAAAUUUUGUCAGAAAGUGUGCAUUAGAUAGGUUCACAUUUAAAUACAAACUGAUUUGAAUUUCUCCCCAUCCCUAUCCUCAUCUCCUGUUUGUGGGCUUCCUAGAGGCAUCUGUGUUGUGUUGAGUUGUGUUGCUGUAUUACUGUACGGGUGGACAUUGCCUGUAAAAAUGGCCUCAAAAUAUUUCCAAUUAAAUAAAUCAGGUAAUAGUGAGGGCUAGAGGCUUAGAUAUCUUUAAGGGCAAAUUAGACAAGUGCCCAAGGCAUAUAUUCAUGGCCUGCAGCCAUGGCACCAUAGCUAAACCUUGGAAUUUGCUCCCAUAAGAGAUGACCCCAUACAGUACUUGGGUGGAUUUUAAAGAGGAUCAUACAAAUUCAUGGAAGGUAAAAGUCAUUAUAGCUGUGUUUUAUUUCCACUAUCAGAGGCAGUUACUGCUUCUGAAUGCCAGUUGCUCAUAGCCUCCAACACUUCUCCGAUGAAAAUAGGAACUUCCUAUUCCACACCAUCCAACUUUUCUCCAUUGAAAAUAGGGAUGUCCAAAGGAAAAGCUGGCUAUUCCAAGAUCAAAUCAGAAACCCAGAUGGCUUUUCCAGGGAUGUCCCUGGAAAAUAGGGAAACUUGGAGGGAAUCACAAGCAGGAAGAGGUGGUGUUGCCUUCAGCAGAGGUGUAUUUAGGGGAGCACAACCGGUUCAGUCACAUUUGGCAUGGACCCUUGGAAGCACCACUGGGGACACCAUAACUAUGACUUAGAAUGGCGUGUGAGAGGCAGGGGGCAUUGAAUUUUGGUGUCGCACAGGGCACUGCUGAAUUUUGACACCCCAAGGUUUGCCACAGCCCUCAGGUCCUAAUUAUUGGUUCUCCGGGGGCAUUCAGCUGGCCACUGUGAGAGCAGAGUGUUAAGAACAUAAGAAAAGCCUGCUGGAUCAGGCCAAUGGCCCUUCUAGUCCAGCAUCCUGUUCUCCUAGUGGCCAUAGAUGGACCUUUGGCCUGAUCCAGCAGGGUUGCUCUUAUGUUCUUAUGACUGCAAAAGUAGCCCUCACACUUUAGAAGCAGAAGGCCUAUGGCUGGUGAGCAACUAUGGGAAAAAGCUAUUGUGAGCUUUAUAGAAGCAAGAAACAGGAAGCUUAACUAGAUAGGCUCUGGGACUGAUCAAGAAAGCUUUUAUUAUGUUGCAUAUUCUCUGUUACCUUGAAUUCCUACAACAGGGACUCAUGCAUAUUCCAGUAUUUCUUGAGAUACCAAAGUGGCAAAUGUUUUUGCAGGCAUUAUCCUCUCCGAAGAAAUAAAGACGGGUUUGCUGUACUCAUUUCAAUUGACACUGGGAGGUCGACUGAUUGUAUUUUUGCCUAAUUUGUGGGGCCAUCUAGGACAGUAUUGCAAUGUUAUAUUGUUCUAUUACUUUGUAAAGUGCACCGGGGCUGUAUGGGAAUUGCGCUUAAAUGAUUUGUUAAUAUUGCAAGUACAAAAGGAAAUGAGAAGAAGGGAACCUUUGCCAGCCUCGGAAAGCUAUAAAUUCUGCACUGUUCAGGAGAGAUAAAGCGAUGCUGCGCGAAGCAUUUUGAAAAGGGCAGUGGAAGCUUUAUGGUGUAAACACAUUUAAUGCAUCCCUACAUUUUAAACAAAAGCAAAAGUUUGAAAAUGCCAGCACCACCACAUUAAACAUAUUACUGCCUCUGGAUCCCUGGAGUACGACCUCUGCCUCUUUUUCAGCCCAAAACUCUGAGAUUCCAUAACUGAUUACAAUAAAUCAGAGACCAGGGUGUUUGUCAGAGAGUGAUCCGAUGCUGAUCCAGUGUUGUGGAUAGAACUAUGCUGAAGACCAAAGGGACCUUUCCAUACUUCAUGUAUCAACAUAAAAGAAAACCAUUACGAAAUUAUGUGUUUAUUCAUUUAUUGAAUUUCUGUGCCACUCUUCUUCUGAGGAUCACAGGGUUGGAUGGUUUCCUGUGUAGAAUCUAGUAGAAGAGGCUGCUAAGCAGCCAAACCAGUUCAUUUGUUAAGAUGAUGGUCUUAGCUGGCCAAUCAAGCACUGCUAUUUACCGUAUCCAAAUAGGUUGCUCUGUUGCCAUAGAGACAGAAUCAUAGCAUCAUAGAGUUGGAAGCAUCAUCUAGUCCAACCCACUACAACACAGGAAUCUUUUUGCCCAACAUGGGGCUCUAACCCUGAGAUUAAGAGUCUCAUGUUCUGGUGACUGAGGUGCUAGAUGCCAGAUGCUGGAUACCACAUCUGGAGUACUGUGUCAAGUUCUGGGCAUUCAGGUUAAGAAGAAUAUUGACAAGCUGAGGCAUGGACAGAGUAGCACAACCAAGAUGAUCAAGGGUCUGGAAACCCAACCUCAGGAGGAAUGGUUGAAGGUGCUGGGUAUGUUUAGCCUGGAAAAGAGGAGACUGAGAGGAAAGGAGAUAUGAUAGCCAUCUUCAAAUGGAAGAUGGAGCAAGCUUGUUUUCUUCUGCUCUGGUGGGUAGGACUCAAACCAAUGGCUUGAAGUUACAAGAAAGGAGAUUCUAACUAAACAUGAGGAGAAACUUUCUGACAGUAAGAGCUGUUUGACAGUGGAAUGGUCUCCCUUGGGAGGUUGUAGCCUCUCCUUCCUUGGAGGUUUUUAAGCAGAGGUUAGAUAGCCAUCUGUCAUGGAUGUUUAGCUGAGAUUCCUGCAUUGCAAGGGGUUGGAUUAGAUGACUUUUGCAUGGCUGGGAUGCAGCCAAUCGUUCAAAGGUCAGGAGCAACACCCAUUGGUCUGCCCCUCCUCUGGCCAUAUUAACCUUCCUGUGGCCUUCAGAAAGUAAAUGCAGCCCUUAGGCUGAAAAUUCCCUUGACUUUGGGGUUGACAGUGGUGCGUUGGGUGGAAGCAGAGCUAACGUUCUUGUUCUCACAUCCAUGUUCUGCUUAUUCAAGUGUGUAAUACCCCGAAGAGAGCUUUGGAGCACCCCAGUUCAUGUAUCCCAUCUGGCACCUGCUCAUUAGCUUUCGUUGUGCCGGAUCCAACCCGACCUUUGCGCUGCUCUGCUUUGCUGAAUCAGACCCAAACUUCUCUGCUGACUAAUUCAAUUAGUUUUCCUUUGACAAGGAGAGAUGAGCAGGCGAUUGAUUUUGCAAAGGUUAAUAUUUCACAUUGCCAUGUCAUCAGACCUGUUAAUAACCGUCUCAUGUUCCAUUUGAACUAUUUAAGUCAUCUCUUUCAGGACUGCAAAUUAUAUAUUUAGAAAGCAGAACCAAUCCAUCUUGGUGAAAAAAAGGGCUUCAUUCAAUGCAAAUCAUGCGCUAUUCAGCAAUGCUUAAAAUUGUGGUCAUUCUGCCCCCGCAAAGGGUCAAUAACUACCUUGAUAAUUGCAUACUUGCACUGCUGUUUGCCGGCUUUCAAAGUAAAGACACUUAAUUAGAAUUCAGAGGACAAUAUGAUCAUUAUGUGGUGGUGUGUGUACGUGUGUGUUUCUGUCUGUGCCAAUGUUGGUUGGUGGGGCAGCGGAGGCUGAUAAGACUAGUCUCUGACAUUCAAAUCCAAAUCAAUACUACUUACAAAACAUUUAAGCUUCCGUGGGCAACAUUGCCAGGCCCCAAUAAUUUGCGUCAUUUUGCAAAAUUAUAGUUAUAGAUGCAGCAGGAGUCAGGAAUUUGCUCUAUUAUUACUCAUGACUGUGCUUUCCAUUUAUGCCCCCUCCCCCCGCCCUGCACACAAAACUAUUGAUUAUUUAGCUGUGCUUAUUCUGUUUCUAUCUCCCCAGCUUCCUCCCCCAUCACUUUUCUAAAGAGAGUAAAACAUGGGUUGUCAGUGCAGGGCCCACAGGUGGACUUUAGCCCUUCCUAGGGGCCCAGGUGUCCCACCUCUCCACACCUUCCAUGUUGAGAGUAGGCUUGGGAACGUUAACUACUGCCUCUCCAUCUGCAUUCUCCAGUAAGAUCACAAUCACAUUAGGCUGGGGGGCAGGGGAGAGAAAAAGCAAGAACAAUAACAACUCUUUUCAGCCUAAACGCUGGUGGGGAGGAAACAACUUCAGUAUGCAUCCAUGUGCAUAGUUGUGUGACAACUGUGCCAGGUGAAUGGUGCUUGCAACAGUUUGCAAAUGUGCCCACGAGUCCCAAAUAUUUGGCAGCCCCUGGCAUUAAGGACUGGCGGUGGAGUGGACUGAAUUGUUUUCCCCAUGCUGAAGCCCAUCAAUAUCAUGUUCCAUAAGAUAUAUAAGAAGAACUGCAAUAGCUUUAAGAGCCAGCCUUCUUCUUCUUCUUCUUCUUCUUCUUCUUCUUCUUCUUCUUCUUCUUCUUCUUCUUCCUCUUCCUCUUCCUCUUCCUUCUUCUUCUUCUUCUUCCUCUUCCUCCUCCUCCUCCUCCUCCUCCUCCUUCUUCUUCUUCUUCUUCUUCUUCUUCUUCUUCUUCUUCUUCUUCCUUCUUCUUCUUCUUCUUCUUCCUUCUUCUUCUUCUUCUUCUUCUUCUUCUUCUUCUUCUUCUUCUUCUUCUUCCUUCUUCUUCUUCUUCUUCUUCUUCUUCUUCUUCUUCUUCUUCUUCUUCCUUCUUCCUCUUCCUUCUUCUUCUUCUUCUUCCUCUUCCUUCUUCUUCUUCUUCUUCCUCUUCCUCUUCUUCUUCCUUCUUCUUCUUCUUCUUCUUCUUCUUCUUCUUCUUCUUCUUCUAUGGGUUUUAUAAACAAGAAUAAUGUUAAACAAAUAAGUAUACCAAGUUUUCUCAUGUCAUUUGUAUAUCACAAAAAUAGCAUAAUAAAUGUGGAAAUAUAUCUACAUGUUUCAUUAUUAGUGGUUGAUGUAUAAGUUCUUGGUUUAUGAAUUGGUUUAAACAAUUCAGAAGAAAAAAAGGGGGAAAGAGGGGUCAGGGUCGUGUGGUUACGCGUCUAUUAUUCUACUUAGUGUGCCAGCCUGCUUCUUAAAGUCUUUCUGUGGUGUCCAAAAGCCAUGGGAAUGAGGUUUCAAUCAUUGCAAAUCUUAGACAAAAUGGACUGUUUCAAGAAGUGGCAGAGAGACAUCUCUAGAUUUGUCUGGCAGGGCAAGAAGCCCAGAAUAAAAUUUAAAAUAUUAACUGAUGCAAAGGACAGAGGCGGAUUUGCCCUGCCAGACCUCAAACUUUAUUAUGAAUCAGCAGCAUUCUGCUGGUUGAAAGAAUGGCUGCUUCUUGAGAACACAGACAUUUUGGACCUAGAAGGUUUCAACAAUGUUUUUGGGUGGCAUGCAUAUUUGUGGUAUGACAAGGUUAAAGCACAUAAAGCAUUUAAAAACCAUAUUGUCAGGAAAGCAUUGCUAAAUGUCUGGAUAAGAUAUAAGGACUUACUUGAAAAUAAAACCCCAAGGUGGUUGUCACCGAUGGAAGCAAAGGCUCAGAAAAGGCUCAAGAACAAGAACAAGAAGGAGACAAAUUGAAAUUGCAGAGUUUCGAGAAACUAAAAAACAAAGUGCGAGAUUGGCUUCAUUAUUAUCAGAUAAUGGAGGCAUACAAUUUGGAUAAGAAAACUGACUUCCAGGUGGAAAAAUCAAAACUAGAAACAGAACUGUUAGAACCCAAAACUAAGAAUUUGUCAAGAAUGUAUAACUUGCUGUUGAAAUGGAAUACUCAGGAUGAAACGGUGAAAUCUGCUAUGAUUAAAUGGGCACAAGAUGUUGGACAUAAUAUUAUGUUUGCUGACUGGGAACAGUUAUGGACCACAGGUAUGAAGUUUACGGCAUGUAAUGCCCUAAGAGAGAAUAUUAUGAAAAUGAUAUACAGGUGGUACAUGACCCCAGUCAAGCUUGCAAAAAUCUACCAUUUGCCCGAUAAUAAAUGCUGGAAAUGUAAAGAAACAGAAGGUACAUUCUUUCAUCUUUGGUGGACGUGCCCAAGGAUUAAGGCUUUCUGGGAGAUGAUCUAUAAUGAAUUGAAAAGGGUAUUUAAAUAUGCCUUCUUGAAGAAACCAGAGGCCUUUCUCCUGGGCAUAGUCGGCCAAUUGGUGUCAAAGAAGGAUAGAACUUUCUUUAUGUAUGCCACAACAGCAGCAAGAAUACUAAUCGCAAAGUAUUGGAAGACACAAGAUCUACCCACCUUGGAAGAAUGGCAGAUGAAGGUGAUAGACUACAUGGAAUUGGCAGAAAUGACUGGCAGAAUCCGAGACCAGGGAGAAGAGUCGGUGGAAGAAGAUUGGAAAAAGUUCAAAGACUAUUUACAGAAAUAUUGUAAAAUUAAUGAAUGUUAGAAUGAUGUUGGAUAGAAAUUAAGUGGUUUUUAGCUGUAAUGUUAUAAGGGAAUAUGAAAAAAUGGAUUAUUAUCAGGCAAAAAUCUAAGGUUAUAAUAUUUUAAGAUUGAAGAUUAGGAUUAACAAAGAGGGGAGGAAUUUGCUGAACUAACAAACUGAAUAGGAAUACAGAAAAGGGAGGCGUGAGGAGGUCCGGGAAAUAAGCAAAUGAAAGAUAAGUGAUUGAAAGACUGAAUUGUUUUUAACUACUUUUAUUUUGUAUUUUUCUUUUAUAUUUUUCUUUUUUCUUUUUCUAUGUUGUAAUAUUUUGAAAAUCUUAAUAAAUAUCUUAUUAAAAAAAAAAAGCCAUGGGAAUGAGUUGCAGGAUAUCGGAAAGAUCAAUACACAUUUCUAUUUUUGCAAAUCAGUUUUCUCCCAUGUAAUGCAUGUUGAAUGUUCUUUUCACUGAUAUACACAUUUUAUGCAAAUGCUUACCUGACGUGUUUGUGUUUGCACACAAUGAUUGGUUGGAGAACCGCAUCAUGAAAUUUGGAGAAGUGUGAAUUUCAAGGCAUAGCGGAGUUUGGGUUCUCAUUUUGGUUGAAGGCGGGGCAAAUUCCUUCCUUCUCCCUACCCAUGGGGGACACAUCUCUUGAACGCCGUACACUCUUUGGCCACACUGACCCCCCUAUUUGCAUACAUCUGAUAUGAAACCCAUCCCGUUCUCGGAGACUGUUUUUGAUGCCCAUUUUGAGUCCUUGUCCAGCUUUCGGCCAGUGCUGCCAUCUCUAUCGCUCAUCCUGCUUAUAGCAUGGCCAAGGCCUUCCCCAAAUGCAUCACUUGCUGAGAUGCUUGAACUAGCAAUGCCAAGUGCUCUGCAAAGGCAUGCCGCUGUCUUCUUGCUAACCUAUAGGCAUAUUGCCAUUUUCAUGAUUGAGAAACGUGGGUUUUGGAAUGGAUUCAGACAUGGGAGGCUCUAGUAAGGAAGGCAAGGUCUACCAACUAAGAGUAUACAAUGGGAUUUGUGUCCAUAAAUACACCAAACUUUGGAAAUGAGCACAAUUGGAGCAGCUUCUUGGAAUUUACUGCUCUGCUGAUAAUGGGAAGAAGGCUGAGGAAGGCCUCGUUCCACAUUCAUUCGUGUUCAGUAUUGAACAGAUUCCCAUUGCAUUAAACAUUAUGGAGUCUUGCAGUGCUAAGAUAAUACACUGAGUGUGCCCAUUUGGGCUCUGCGUGCCAUUAAACUAAAUAGAAUCAUAUUUCAUGCAUGAUUUCCACCUGGUUAUUCAGUGGUGGGUCCGAGAAGGUAGGAAGGGAAAGUGGAAAUAAAAAAUAUUUUUUUGUCAGGUGGCAUUUCCCUAUGAUUUUAAAUGCCUUAUUAAGGCACCCAUAAGGAUGAGCCACUCUGAUGAGCUGGGCAUAUUAAGAGAUGUUUCUGCCCUUGCUGUUGUUAAUACAGACAUUUGUAUCCUGAACAAUACAAGGAGAACCAUUAAGAUCCUCUGCAAAUAACAUAAGGAGCCAUACGUUGUCUAAUAAACAAAGUUUUUAAGUGCUGCUGAGAAUGAGCAGGCAUUGGGUUGGGCAAUCGAUCAAGAAAGGAACAGUCUGGCAGCAACUAAAGGUAAGCUUUAGGUGUUGCAAGAAGCAGAGGAAAAAGUUUCAAAGGCAGCGGAGACAAAGUAUGUGAAAAAUGUACUGGAGGAAUCCUAGUUACAGGUAGGUAGCCGUGUUGGUCUGCCGUAGUCGAAACAAAAUAAAAAAAUUCCUUCCAGUAGCACCUUAGAGACCAACUAAGUAUGUUAUUGGUAUGAGCUUUUGUGUAUAUGUACACUUCUUCAGAUACCAUACUUAGUCAGCUCAUACCAAUAACUUACUUAGUUGGUCUCUAAGGUGCUACUGGAAGGAAUUUUUUUAUUUGGAGGAAUCCUGUUGCUGGUUUCAUUUUCCCUCUGUGCAUGUAUCGUAGGGUAGGCUUCCAGACUUCAGACAGAUAUCAUCAUAUUUUUAUUUCUAUGCUUGUCGUUUAGUCGUGUCCGACUCUUCAUGACCCCAUGGACCAGAGCACGCCAUGCACUCCUAUCUUCCACUGCCUCCCGCAGUUUGGUCAAACUCAUGUUAAUAGUUUCGAGAACACUGUCCGACCAUCCUGUCCUCUGUCGUCCCCUUCUCCUUGUGCCCUCCAUCUUUCCCAACAUCAGGGUCUUUUCCAGGGAGUCUUCUCAUGAGGUGGCCAAAGUAUUGGAGCCUCAGCUUCAGGAUCUGUCCUUCCAGUGAGCACUCAGGGCUGAUUCCCUUAGGAAUGGAGAGGUUUGAUCUUCUUGCAGUCCAUGGGACUCUCCAGAGUCUCCUCCAGCACCAUAAUUCAAAAGCAUCAAUUCUUCGGCAAUCAGCCUUCUUGAUGGUCCAGCUCUCACUUCCAUACACCACUACUGGGAAAACCCUAGCUUUAACUAUAUGGACCUUUGUCGGCAAGGUGAUGUCUCUGCUUUUUAGCAUAUUUGUAUGCUACUUUCCCAUAAUUAAAGCCAUGCUCAAGGCAGCUUACAACAUGAAAAGAUUUACAUUAUUACUAACAAGCAAAGUAGUCAUAAAAAAUGAAUAAAAUACAUCAAAAUGCACACAACCAAAUUGAACAAUUUCCACAUAAAUCAUAGCAAGAACUAAAAAUAAAGAUACGAAAAAUUAACAUCAAUAACAGCAGCAGCAGCAGCAGCAACCAAUACUCCUAUGCAAUACCUCAAUCCAAGGGUUUGUAGAAAAAAAUGUGGAAAUAUAAGCUUUUAUCCUUUUAAAAGAUGCCCUUUUGAGUUCCACAACUUCCCUUUUCCUCCAGCGAAUGAAAAGACCACCUGUUUGGUAAGUUAAAAAUGGUUUACUUACAAACACUCCAAAGAUCAGAUUCAUAUGUUUUUCCAUAAAACAGUUAGAAAAGUUAUGCAGGCAGUAAAACUUUGUUUAGUUGCAAAAGUGGUGAAAGUUCCUAAAUUAUUGGCAUAGGAACUCAAGAGAGACUUGUGUUUAAAUUUCAGCAGUGAGCUGAACCACUUCACACACUGAGCUUUUUAAGUAGACUGGGGAAACAAAGGCUUGAUCACCUAGUCCCUCCUAAGGUGAGCUAAGUCUGGCAGGACAGCUUACUCUCUAUUGGUUUAACCCCUUCACGCAUUAAUUAAACAGGCAUGUUAGUAAUAUGAGGCUGGUUAUCCCACAGAACAUCUACACGAAGAUGAGGUUGAUGGAGUUGGAGGCCAGUAAGAGCUGUUUGGGGGUGGAAUGGUGGUGGUCUCUCCUUCCUUGGAGAUUUUUAAGCAGAGGUUGGAUGUGGCAGGAGCUCGUCCUACACUCGAGUAGGACCCUGGUAGAGACAUGUGCCUGACAUGUUUCCUCCCUCCUGGUUGAUCGCUAGGGAACUUCAAAAGCUUUCUUCUGCCCAAACAUCACAGCGACCGAUGCCAACUGACACCGGCACACUUAAGGAUCUGCAGAGUCUUCGCAGCUUGCGUGACAGACCUCAGCAACUCAGCAUUUUGGCUAAUCUACUUUAUUUACAUAUAAACACACACGGAGCACUGCAACAUGGCUCCCUCUUCUCUAGCAUCAGACAGCAAAGAGAAAGAACAAAGGACAAUAGUCCCACUUCACAGAACAUGUGUCUCUGUUACUUCCUACUUUGUGGAGUCAAAACAUACAGCGUCAUGUGAUAGACAAAAAUCCCAUGACUGCAAUCAGGGAGCAUGAAUACUAACAGGAUGGCCAUCUGUCAUGGGUGCUUUUGUUCAGAUUCCCACAUUGCAGGGGGUUGGACUAGAUGACCCUUGGGGUAACUUCCAACUCUAAAAUCCUAUGAUUGUAUCUGGAGUGCCACAAACUCCCCAUCCCUGCUGUAGAGGGAGCCCCCUGCCCUGGAUGUUGACUUGGGGUGGGGCCAGCAGGAUAAUCACGAUCCCCCUCCCCCCGAGUUACUAGGUGAUGGAUUUUUCUCAAGAGAACAGCUCUACUUUGGCAGAUAUUAGCAGGAAUCUGGUGAGAGCUGUGGGCUUUCUGAUUAUGAUCAUGCUAUAUUCCUGAACCUUUUGCCAACGGACGAACUCUAAUGGACACAAAUCCUUAAGUGAAAAGCGGGGAGAGUUUGUUUGCUCGCCCUGCUUCAAAGUCACCUCUGGCACGCUUUAAAAAGUGUUUAAAAGGAUAUUUGAUAUUUUACUGUCAAAUAAUUUUGUUGUCAGGAUUACAGCAUGGCCGCUUGAUAUAUGGCCUCAUUUAUGUGCUCUCUGGCUAUAAAUUCAACCCCAUAAAAAUUAAUUGCAGGAGAGAGAGAGAGAGAGAGAGAGAGAGAGAGAGAGAGAGAGAAAGUUGAGCUGGCUUAUUAAAGAGUUUCAGUUGAGGGGGAUGCAUGGUUUGAAUCCAAUGUGUGGUUGCCUGAUCUGGGUACCACACAUAAGGCCUUGGGUACAGACCAACCAGCAUGCAAAGUGAUGGAACAGUGAAAUACUACUUUAGCAUUAAAUGCUUUCUGAGCACUGGCUUUUAAUAUGGCACUUCCAUCAAUAAUUUGAUAGGUGUGUUGCCUUUCAGGAUAUGCAAAACUUCUCAUUCUGGAAGCUUUGGGUAUUCACCGCAUCUAAAAUAGCCACAGUUCUCUCUUGCUCAUCCUCCCAUUCUCAUAUUGGCUAACCAUGUACCUGUGCAUAGGUGCCAACUCCCUGUGGACCUGGGUGCCCGAGCACCCACAAGAUUCCUCAUGAAGGGGACAGGCACCCACAAAUUGGACACGGGGCCAAGUUGGCACUCCUGUGGGAAACAGGCAAGCAGGACUUGAACACAAGAACACUCUCCCCUCCUGUGACCGCCAGCAACUGCUACUCAGAAGUAUUACUGCCUCUAACCAUAUAGACAGAGCAUAGCUAUUGUAGUUAACAGGUAGAGCCUGGCUGUCAGUGGUACCCCAGAGAAAGAUAGAGAAGCUGGAGAAUUUUGGUUUGAUUCUAACACAAACAUACCCGAUUCACUCUUCCCGAAACAAUAUGCAACCAGAAAUGUAGCUAUCUUUCAAAACUCAUUUUCCUAGUUUUCUUUUUUUAAAAAAAAAAAAUAUAUGCAAUUCUCAAACAACAACAACAAAAAGUGUAUAGAAAACUGUCUAUUAGGGAAGAAGGUGCAUGGAUGCAUCUAUUUGUGAAAUAAAUAUAUUUUAUUUUUGCCAUGCAAAGAUGCAGCCUAUUGGGUAAAGUUGCUUUCAAAAUGCAUGCAUUAGGGAUAAUUGCAUACAAAAAAAUGGUAUUUUAAGAGAAAAAUCAAACUAAAAUGCUGGCAAUUUUGUAAAGUCUGUCAAGAAAAUAAAUCACAAACAUCACUCUGCAUGUGCAAUAAUUUCCUUGGAUAUUACUGUUUAUGUGACAAGUGACAAAUAAAUUGAAAUCAUCACCAGCAUCUCAUUUUUGCUAGUGCUAUAUCCAGCCAUUGCAUACCCAAAUACCCACCAGUGCUGUGGAUCCCAGAUUCUACGCUCAGUGGUUUUUAAUAGCAUCUCUCUCUCUGGGUUUAUAGUUGGCACACCUGCUUGCUAGAUGCCAAGAAGAGGUGCACACAGAUCAUCUUAGGUUUAUAGCUCUGAACAUGCUCGAGUCCUUCUCAAGAGAUUGGCAGAUCAAUCAAAAUAGGAGCAAAAAGAAGGGGGGGGACAGAUCAGGACUAGGCAAGGCAUGAAUAGCAGUUGGGAGAGGGCCUGACAGGGACUGGCUUUGAGAUGCAGGGUUUGCCUUAACAACGCUGAGGUUAUAAAAUCAAACUCAGCAGGGCAGCAGCCUAGAUUUAUUGCAUGUCAUGUGGAUCAAAAGUUAAUGCAGGCAGUUGACGAAUACUUGAUACCCAGCAGGUUCGCAAAUAUAACAGGCCCCGACAGUGCAGUGUUGAGGCUUGCCAACUUAAUUAAGUUAGGAUUGAAUGCCCAUGGACAGCUUCUCAUAAUAGCUGGCAAAAAACAAAGGCGGGGUGGGAUACUGGAGUGUCAGGUUUAUAAGAGCAGUUCUUUUCUCUCUUGACUGUCAGGUGGCCAACAUAAGCUGCCCCAUACAGUCAGAGGAACCAGCAGGGCCAGCUCAAGACUUUUUGCUCCCUGAGAGAGAGAGAACCACCAAGUGCCCAAGGCCAGUAUUUCAGGGAAGGGGUUUUGAGCUCAGUGGCAGAUUAUCUGCCUUGCAUACAGAAGGUCCUGGGUUCAACCCCCAGCUUCUCUGGGUAGAUCUGGAGAAGACACCUUGUCUGAAGUCCUGGGGAGCCACUACCAGUCAUCGUAGACCAGAAAAGAAAACGUAGGCAGAUAAAGGUAAGUACUUCUUCAUGCAGCUGUCAGUAUGUCAAGUUCCUAGUCUGGGUCAAUCCACAUGUCCAAAGUCCUAACCAAAACAUCCAAGCUGAGGUCCCUCAACAUGGGCAGUUGAGCAGACACAGCACCUCAGCUCUGCUGCCCUUUCGUACUUGGAAUGCUGAUUGAAGCAUGUGACCCUCACCUGUUUUAAGCCUGCUCCAGCUGAAGAAUCACACACCUCCUCCCAGAGCUUGUGGGCCCCAAGUGGCCAGCUAGUGAGCUGGGCUGUGGGCCCUUACUGUGGGAAUGUUCAGGGAGGCAGAAGAGGAUAUAUUGUUUAUUAAUAUCCUUCCUAACUUGCGCUAGCAAGUUCUAUAACUUAGCAGAGUUUUAAACAUUCCCCUUUUUAAUGCACAGCGGGUAGCUGGUUGCAGGCUUGUUUAAGCUUCUCAAUAUGGAUUCCUGGUAAGAUCCCUAAUUUUCCCUCUUAAAAGAAUGAACACGCCACAAUCUUAUUUAAGAUAUAUAAAAGUAGUUUACUCACAGCAACAUCAGUUCACAGAUGGAUCCCUGAAAGCAGACUUAGUUACAGAUAUAUAUACAUGUGGAUCUAUCCCAUAUGGAGAUACAGUGAUACUUUGGUUUACAACCAUAAUCCGUUCUGCAGGCCCAAAGCAGAUUAUAAGCCAAGGCGCGCUUUUGCCAAUGGGGCCUCAAAAGUAAAUAAAUGGUUGUAAUCCAAAAAAAUAAAAUAAAAUGGGUUGUAAUCCAAAAAAAGGGAUACACACUUCAGGGUUUGACAUGGUUGUUAUCCAAAACAGUUGUAAUCAAAAACGGUUGCAAACCAAGGUACCACUGUACUUUCUUUGUCCUCUGUUGACUGAAAGCCAACAGGGCAUCUCUGGCUAAAAAGCUGCUUCAAUAAAGAGAGGAAGUUGCCUUGUCCUUUUGUUUUACCUGGACAGGUAAGGUCACACCCACCUAUAGUCACAUGCAAAGGAAGUAUGUCCAGCCAGGAGGAAACAGGAAGUUUGUGACCAAACAUUCCCUUGCAUGUCCACUCUAGGAAAACAAGGAAUGUUGUACUUACUGCUACUUAUGUAUCACAUCCCACACUUACCUGCCUCAGCCUUUUGGAGCACCCUGCCUGCUGUCCCUUACGCCUCAGAGCCCACCAUGUUUGUGGAGACAGGGACCCUUCUGGCUCUGGUGAUGGGUCCUGCUGCUCCGGUUCCUGUGCACUGAUCCCCAUCCCCACAUCAUCCUCUGUCAUCCCGUGAGUACUUCCUACAUCAAUUUCUCCUUCCCCGUUUGCAGCUUGCCCUGGCACGCUCCAGCCCCAGCUACCCCCCUCACCGGCAUCCUCUUCCUCCUCCCCAUUUGUCCUACUAGUUCAUGAAAGCAGCAUAUACUUAAGCUAUGGAAUUCAUUGCUGUAGUAGGCAGUGAUGGUCACCAGCUUGGAUGGUAGAGCCAUAGAUCCACUCCAGGGAUUGGUCUCAGCAAGGAAGGUGAUCAGGAGGUUGGUGAUUGUCUUCUCCUGGGAAGAUGCAACUGGUGGUUAGGGUAGGUGCCAGUAUUUACAUGGGGUUUCCCCACCUGAUGUGUGCCUCUUUUUCCUGCCUGAUAUCCUGCCCACUCAACGGCCGGACAACCACAGAUCACUCUGGGCCAUCCACCCUGAGCUAUAGCAGUCCAUGGCUGUUUGUACUCAGUGUGCCCAAUACAUGAGUCCAGUGAUUUUUUUUCUUUUAAAAACAAUGUUUAGGGAUACUCUCAUUUUGACUCAAGAAAAUCACCAUUUUAUAGUUCAAAUCAGGAAAAAAUAAAUACAGUAAAUGGACAAAAGUACGAAGAACAUGUAUUAAUAAUAAUAAAUUUUAUUUAUAUCCCGCCCUCCCCAGCCGAAGCCGGGCUCAGGGCGGCUAACAACACUAAAAUAGUGCAACAUUAUAAAACAUUAUAAAAAUUAAUUAAAAUCAAAAUUGAUGGCAACCAUAAACUAAAGUUUUGUAAAGAUUGCCAAAGGAGGGAGUCAGGCUGCGCCCUGACCAAAGGCCUGGUGGAACAGCUCUGUCUUGCAGGCCCUGCGGAAAGAUGUCAAGUCCUGCAGGGCCCUUGUCUCUUGUGACAGAGCGUUCCACCAGGUUGGAGCCACAGCCGAAAAGCCCUGGCUCUAGUUGAGGCCAGCCUAACCUCUCUGUGGCCUGGGACCUUCAAGAUGUUUUUAUUUGAAGACUGUAAGUUCCUCUGUGGGGCAUACCAGGAGAGGCGGUCCUGUAGGUACGAGGGUCCUAGGCCGUAUAGGGCUUUGAAGGUUAAAACCAGCACCUUAAACCUGAUCCUGUACUCCACCGGGAGCCAGUGCAGCUGGUAUAGCACCGGAAGAAUGUGAUCUCACAGCGAAGACCCCAUAAGGAGUCUCGCUGCUGCAUUCUGCACCUGCUGGAGUUUCUGGGUCAGUCUCAAGGGCAGCCCCACGUAGAGCGAGUUACAAUAAUCCAGUCUGGAGGUGACCGUCGCAUGGAUCACAGUGGCUAGGUCAGGGCGAGAGAGGUAAGGAGCCAACUGCUUAGCUUGGCGGAGAUGAAAAAUGCCGCCUUUGUUAUAGCUGCAAUCUGCGCCUCCAUGGAGAGGGAGGUAUCGAAGAUUACACCCAAACUCUUAACGGACGGUGCUGGCACUAAUUGCACCCCCGCAAGAGAUGGGAGUUGCCCCCCUCAAUCCCAUAUCGUCCCGUCCCAGCCAGAGGACCUCUGUCUUCGAAGGAUUUAACUUCAACCGGCUCCCACGUAACCAUCCAGCCACAGCUUCCAAGCAUCUGAUCAGUGUGUCUGGGGCCGAGUCAGGAUGGCCAUCCAUCAACAGAUAGAGUUGGGUGUCAUCAGCAUACUGAUGGCAGCCCAGCCCAAAACUCCGGACAAGCUGGGCGAGGGGCGCAUAAAGAUGUUAAAAGCAUCGGGGAGAGUAUCGCACCCUGGGGCACUCCACACACCAAGGAGUGGCGGGAUGACAAUUCCCCCCCAAGCGCCACCCUCUGUCCCCGACCAGAGAGAAACGAGCGCAGCCAUUGAAGGACUGUGCCCUGGAUCCCCACGUCGGCAAGGCGGUGGUCCAGGAGUUCGUGAUCGACCAUGUCGAAGGCUGCUGACAGGUCUAGAAGAAUCAGCAGCCCCGACCCGCUUCGAUCCAGCUGCCUGCGGAGAUCAUCUGUUAGGGCGACCAGAGUCGUCUCGGUCCCAUGACCAGCGCGGAAGCCGGACUGGAAUGGAUCCAGAGCCGAUGUUUCAUCCAGAAACCUACCAAGCUGUUCAGCAACCGCUCUCUCAAUCACCUUACCCAGGAAUGGAAGAUUCGAAACCGGGCGGUAAUUGGAUAGAUCUAAGGGAUCUAAUGAUGUUUUCUUUAAAAGCAGGUGCACCACUGCCUCCUUCAGUACCCCUGGGAAUGUCCCGGUGCCAAGGGACAAAUUGAUGAUAUCCCCCAGGGAGGCCCGCACCUCGUCUGGACACGCUCUAAUCAGCCAGGACAGGCACGGGUCGAGAGGACAAGUGGUGGGCUUUCCAGCUCGGAGGAGUCUGUCCACAUCGGCUGGGGAUAUCCGGUCAAAGCGGUCCAAUACUGGACCCGAGGACAGUCGAGGGGCCUCCAGUUCCUUUAUUGUAUCCAAAUUGGCAGGGAGGUCAUGGCGGAGCAACAGGACCUUCUCCGCAAAAAGCUCGCAAAUGCCUCACAGCUGUGUGUCAAAUUGUUAUUUAAAUUUGGCUGUCCUUCGAGGGACGUUAAAGACCGAAUUAUACUAAAUAAUUGCGCCGGGCGAGAGCUAGCGGAUGCAAUGGAGGCCGAGAAGUAGGACUUCUUAGCGGCCUUCACUGCCAUCUCGUAGGUUUUCAUAAAAGCCCUAUAAGAUGUUCUUGAGGCUCCGUCACGGGCACCCCGCCAUACUCGCUCUAGCCGUCUGAGGUCCCGCUUCAUUUUCCGGAGCUCCUCGGUAAACCAGGGAGCCCGGUUUCUGCGGGGUCGCAGAGGGCGCUUAGGUGCGAUGUCAUUGAUGGCUGCCAGGAGCUGGGUAUUCCAGCCCUCAACAAGCUCAGUCAAUGAGUCGCCAGGGGGAGAAAGGUCCCACAAGGCUUGACGGAAUCUAUCAGGGUCCAUCAGCCUCUGUGGACGAGCCCAAAUCGGCUUGCCACCUAAGCAGGGUGGGGGUGGAACGUCAAUCCUGGCUUUCAGAGCGUAGUGAUCAGACCAUGGCACCUUCAUCGAAGGAAACAUGAUCACAUCUAUACCGACGCCAAAGAUCAAAUCCAGCGUGUGGCCUGCUUGAUGUGUGGGGCCCGAAACAAACUGGGAGAGCCCUAGUGUCGCCAUGGAAGACACCAGGUCCAGAGCCUGUGAGGAGGGAGUGGCAUCAGCAUGGAUGUUGAAGUCCCCCAAUACCAAUAGGUUAGAGAACUCCAAGGCCCAGCCGGCCACCGCCUCCAGCAGGCCUGACAGGGUGGCUGCUGGUGCGCUAGGUGGCCGGUACACCAGCCAGACAGCCAAGCUCACCUGGGAGCCCCACACUAGGCCAACACAUUCAAUGCCGGGGAUCGAUGGCGAUGGUAGAGCCCUGAAAGAACAAUCUUCCCGGAUUAAUAAUGCCACCCCUCCCCCCCGGCCCACAGUCCGCGACUGGUGGAGGACAGAGAAACCCGGGGGCGCCAUCUCUCAUAAGGUAACAGUAUCCCCUUCGCGCACCCAGGUCUCCGUCACACAAGCCAGGUCGACCCCCUGCGAGAUGAAGAAAUCUCGCAGGGUGGCGGUUUUGUUGCCUAUAGACCUGGCAUUGCACAACACCAGUGACGGAGGUGAGUAAUCCUUGCUCACCCUACCCUCGUCCCUCGGGAUGAGGCGCAGAUUGGAAGGGGUACGAGCGUAUCCGUAUCUUGAUCCCCUUCGCCUAUGACAUCUGCCCCCACCCGCAUACCUCCCUCGCCCCUCCACAGUAGGAAUCCCAAGCCUCAUACUCGCCUCCAUUUACAAAAUAUAAAAGCAAACAAACAAACAAAAAACAAUUACACCAAAACAAAACCAUAUUACCUCAUAUUACACAGCUGACAGCUCACAGUGACUUCCAUAUUGGCAUGAGGCUGUGUGCACGAACAUCUUCCCAAUUCCUCUGCUUGCGUGUUGGUGUCCAUUGCUAGAUGUUGUCCUUUCAAAAACCAUGAGUUCACAUACACUGAAGGCUUAAACUAACUCACUGAGGCCAAACUUUCAUCAGUAAAAACACCACACAUCCACAUUCCACACUGCUUCACACAUUAAACACUCACUUCCGUCUGAGACUCAGAAAACACCGGGAAAGGAAAGGAAGCCGCCAUCAGAGGUGGUAACAACAAAACUGCCCAAUUAAAAAAAAAUUAGUUUCUUCUCCCCUUAGAUUCACAAAAUGUUUAGGGGUAUGUGUACCCCUGUGUUCCCCAUCCCCACCCCCCAAAAGCACUGUCUGAGUCCUUUUGAGUGUGUCUGGUUUGGCUUGGCCAGGACUCAGCUGAAUUGGCUACACAAAACUAGUACAUAUAUGGGAAGGGGGAGUUGUGGAGGUCACAGAAAACCACUUGCCCCUCCCUCCAAAAAUUACCAUCACAAUAGCACAGCUUCACAGUGGCAGAUCUGAAGGAGCCGCCAGUAAUUACUGAUAUAUAUUUUUUUAAUAUACAUAUUAAAAAGGGGUGGGGAAUGGUUGGGCUAUAAAACCUUUUUGACAUCACAGUUGAAGACCUAUGGGAUCAGUUGGGUUUUGUAAAAAAAUUAUUGGGCUGCUAGCUGCAUCCAUGGGUUUGCCACCCAUGGUACAGAUCCUGCGCUGAACAGGGAGUUGACUUCCAAAGUCCCUUCCGACUCAGUAAUUCUAUGGUUUUGUUUCAUUGAUUUUGAUACGAUUCUUGCAAGUCCUCUCAGAGCCUACAAAUGUGAUUCAAAUGUUUUAAAAGCAAAUUAAAGACAAUGCAAAAAUACCACUGUAUUGCUGGGCUGAGUUAUAUGAAUUAGCUUUUCAAUCUUAUGCAUGUUUGCUCAAAAGCAAAUCCUACUGAGUUCAAUGGGGAUUACUCCCAGGUAAGUGGGAUAGGACUUAAGCACUAAUUCUGUCUGGGCAGAGCUCUCUGUAGUACUAAGAAGACCAAUGCCUUUUUCUAAGAAUUAUCAUCAGAAUUUUCUUAUUAAGGAAAUGAAAACACAAUUAACCUAAGCACCUUAAUCUCUUGCACAUCUUAAUUUGCUGUGUUUCUGUUUUUCUGCUCAGAACUGCCUUGACCCCAGAAUAAUAAAAUGAGACUUCCAAAUCUGAGAUGAGAAGAUAGAGGCAGGAUCAGUCAGAGCUGAGAUAAGCAAGGAGCAGCAUUGAAGGAUUUGUCUAAUUAUACAUUGUUUCAUGCUAACUUCCCCGAGCAGUUGGAAGUUCCAAUGGCAUCAGCCUUCACAAAAGAGAGCUUGGAGACUUGUGAUGUUUUUGUAAGAUCUAGGGAUGAGGAAAAGCAUUGAUUCCCAUUCUCAUUUAAAGCUGAAUCCACCUAAUUUGCACUUUCCAGAACAAUGUGCAAACUGAAACACAGCCGAC